rnacentral:rRNA from 1 species
UACGAAGGGGGCUAGCGUUGUUCGGAAUUACUGGGCGUAAAGGGCGCGUAGGCGGUGUGUCAAGUCAGGCGUGAAAGCCCCGGGCUCAACCUGGGAACCGCGCUUGAGACUGGCACGCUAGAGUUCGGGAGAGGAUGGUGGAAUUCCCAGUGUAGAGGUGAAAUUCGUAGAUAUUGGGAAGAACACCGAUGGCGAAGGCAGCCAUCUGGACCGAUACUGACGCUGAGGCGCGAAAGCGUGGGGAGCAAACAGGAUUAGAAACCCUUGGAUACGUCC